UACAGAGGAGCCAAGCGUUGUCCGGAUUGACUGGGCGUAAAGCGCACGCAGGCGGAUACGCGCGUGGGGUGUGAAAUCUGGCCGCUUAACGGCCAGGCGCCAUCCCAUACGGCGUGUCUGGAGCUGUGCAGAGGUCGGUGGAAUUGCCGGUGUAGUGGUGAAAUGCGUAGAGAUCGGCAGGAACACCGAGGGGGAAACCAGCCGACUGGGCACAUGCUGACGCUGAGGUGCGAGAGCGUGGGGAGCGAACCGG
rnacentral:rRNA from 1 species